CCCUUAGAUGUUCUGGGCCGCACGCGCGCUACACUGAUCGGUGCAACAAGCAUCCGUCCUUGGCCGACAGGCCCGGGCAAUCUUUGAACGCUGGUCGUGAUGGGGAUAGACUUUUGCAAUUUUUGGUCUUCAACGAGGAAUUCCUAGUAAACGCAAGUCAUCAACUUGCAUUGAUUACGUCCCUGCCCUUUGUACACACCGCCCGUCGCACCUACCGAUUGAAUGGUCCGGUGAAGCCUCCGGAUUGGCGCGCACCUCGGUGCCGCCGAGAAGUUGGCUAAACCUUACCAUUUAGAGGAAGGUGAAGUCGUAACA
rnacentral:rRNA from 1 species